ensembl:lncRNA
CACCGCCUGGCUCCUGCCGCCCGGCUCGCGGGUCGGGUCGGCCGCCUGAGGUCAACCUUUGCGCGCCGCCUGAGGCCCGCUUUCCCCUUGGAGCAAGGUGGCGCAACAUCUGUUGGAAAAGAGAGAGCGCGGGUCGAGAGCUCAGUCAGUAUCUGUCAGCGCCUCCGGGGCCCGCACCUGAGGUGGAGAGCGGACGGGCUGACCCGGCGAACCGCGCUCUGGGAGCCGCGUCCUGCUGCAAGCGACGCGCACACGCCCGUGAAAUUAAUGGUUCAGAGAGCUGUCUGUGUGGAGGAAUGAAGCAGAGGAUCGAACUCGGGUCCUUGCACUUGUGCAGCAGGUGGCGAAACCACUGAGCUAAAUCCCCAGCCCCCAAUAAUCAAUCUUGACAUAGAGAGCCCAUCACUUCUUCCAUCGUCACGUCACUUC